AUAAGUUUACCAUCACUAGCGUCAUUGCGAAUAAAGCGCAGAAUAAAGGCAAAGCGUUUGCAGGAAAGUAUCAAGUUAAAUUCAAAACUACAAAGUUGUACGUGCUUUAGGAAUUGAAAAUGACAAAUAAAGAAGCUGGAAGUAUUCAGGAAAUAACUCAAAGUUUUUUUCUGGAAAGCUAUCAUAACGGAUGUUGGUACAUAUCGUGAGUGAUCAUCUGAAAAAUCUGCUAAAUUAUACUGGAAUGUCGGCGAAUGUCGCUCUUGAAAACCUUACAGAGAUGAGCAACAUUCAGCAACUAGAACAAAUGAUAAUUACUCAAAAAAUGAGAAUUGUACAAUUUUGUGCCACAAACUCUAUAAAUUUAGAAAGAUAUAUGCCGUACUGCCAAGUCGAUGAGGCAGAUUUUUCUUUCACCUUCGUGGAUAAGCUGACUAUAAUGGAAAUUGCGCAAUGUGUUAAGAAAAACGGUAUCUCUGUAGAGAGCACUCGAAACCGAAAUCGAACAGAGUGAAAAAAAUUAAAAUAAUGAAGCCUCAACAGUCGUGGCCUGUAUAAAAUCUCGUAAAACAUUUUGAUGCACAUCGUUCAAACAGAGAUUCGAAUUCGAACAAGCGAGGGCGAAGAACCCAUGUAGUUUCUGAAAAGUGGCAAUAUACUCGAAGGCACCAGCAAAAUAAUGAGUCUCUGAACUGUUCAACAGAAGAACAUAUCUUAGAUUUUUAUGAUGCUACGAUGGAUGAAAAUAUAGACAAUAAUAACAUA